GUGUUUCAUAGAGAGAAGGCUUUUUUCCGUCGGUUGCCACGGUAACACGCUUUGUACUAUUAGAAAGAUUUGAAUAGUGUUUGGUCCACAACUUGUCAGGAUGCUUCACACAAAGUUUGGAGUCACUCGCACGAAUCCCCUCAGACUAGUUUGUUCAAAUAAGAUG